UUCAACAUUCUAGAAUCACAAACCAUUCUCCACAGAUACUGCAGCAUUUUCACUUAACUACAGUUUCAUUUGAAAAAAAGAGAAAAGAAAGUGCUUUUGAAAUAAGCUCACGGUCAUUCUAUUCAAUCCAAUUCAAUGCAUGAUUGAAUGCGUGGGUUUAAAAAAGUGGGUGCAAAAUGUACUUUUGGAUGUGAAGUUGUCUAAAUGUUAGGAAAGGACAAGCAAGGACAAUAAGGAACAUUAGAGGUCAAUGUCUUGUUUGGCUUUUGAAAUAUGAAGACUUUUGAUGACAAGGUAACAAGGACCUGCGGAAGCCGCAAUAGUUUUGGUGUAAUAUUGCAAGAUCUGUCAUUGCUAUGUUUGUUGGCAUACAAAGUGGCAAUACCGCCAAGUAGUGUGUUAAUGACUAUAAAUUCUAUAAAACAAAAAUCUGUUAGAACACCACAUGGGUCGUGUGCGAGCUGCUCUUUCCUGUUUUAUUCUGGGACUAUGCUUAGACUAUACAGACUGAUCCAAUAUUGCAAGCACCAUUACGGCGAUGUACUGUUCUGUGUCACCUCUGCAAGGACCAGGAAUAUUCUCGGUAGGUGUGAAAGGAGUUUGCAAGAGGAGAAUCACAGGUGUGCCAUGAAAGAUCUGCAAAUGUUACAUUUAUAGCUAACACAAUAUCCAGGCACAAUCGCAUAUGACAAAGACAGAACUGCAUUUGAGUCCAAGAUUGAAUCAGCCAACAUGAAUCCCUCCUGUCACCUUUGCCUGCAAUCUGUCUUCACUCCCCCCAGAACAGCAGGUACCAAAUAUCGCACAAAGGUAUGAUCAUCCAAGCUCUGAGACAUGUCAAAGCCCAUGCAAGCGUGUCACAGUCAAGUCGUGUGCUGAAAAUUAUCCGUGGUCUUGCCUCCGUUAAAAGGUACUUGCAAAACGACAUCUCAUUCGGGGUCUUAUACGGAAACAAAUGGGUAAAAUGAACAUUCUGUAGUUGCAACAGUCAUAUAGAAGAAAUUACAAGGAUUGACCAACAGGUUGAUGAGUCAGUCUUACUAUCCUGCAACGACCAACUAACGAGUACACUAACACUUAAUCAUGCGUGUCUCAUUUUCCGAAUGGCAAAGUUACAGAGGAAUUACCACUUUUCCAUCGGCUGCCAUUGCUGGACUACAAUAAUCUUUGCAGCAUGUCCGGACAAGAACGUGACACAAUCUGUUGGUGUAUGAAUAUAACCAGGUUGUGGAUGAGAAUAGCUAGCUUCGGUUAUUUCGGUUGCCACUUGUCUUAAAAUACUCAUACUAGCGCGGGCAACCACUUUGCGCUAUUGAGAAGUUUAUCCAUAUCUUCACAACGCACAUUAACCAACGCUGUCAUAAAAGGCCGCUGAAUUCAUCACAACGGUACUGCUCAGGAAAUGAAUCUUUUUUUCUUUGUAGUACAGGAAAUACGGUGAUUUCACAUUAUUUUCUGUUUCUACAGUGAAAAUAACACUUUGUGUAUAUAGACAGUAUAUUUGAGUUCAUACGUCUGGCUUGUAAUUCACACAAGCAGAUGUAAUCAAUGGUGAUGGAGACCGGCGGAAAAGCAGCCCACUGCUUUAUUCUCGUGGGAAUAUCCGCCCUGUUCGGGUCGGACCAUCACGGCCGAUGGAGGUAUGGCAUGGAGAGUCUGGACCACGAGGACCGCACACAGACAACGUGUUUCCUUCAGCAUGUGCUAUAAACCCCCCUGAGCACACAUGGCUGUAAUAAGGCAACACAUUAAGCCAUUAUGCUGCUUUUAAGGACGAGUGUGCUCGCCAUAUUGGGAAUUGGGCACUUGACUGUCAUAACUUCCAAUUGUUGCUGUUGCCGCCUGCCUUGGCUACUUGGGGGACAGUGUAAGACCAAGAUCAUUUUUAAUUAUUUCUAAUUCUAUUUGAUUGUC